rnacentral:miRNA from 1 species
GUAUUAGGUUGGUGCAAAAGUAAUUGCAGCUUUUGCCAUUACUUUUAAUGGCAAAAACUGCAAUU